GAAGGAAGGAAGGAAGGAAGGAAGGAAGGAAGGAAGGAAGGAAGGAAGGAAGGAAGGAAGGAAGGAAGGACCUAAGACCCAAGCUCUGACACCUGUCACCUCUGCUUAGCAGAAGUCAGAUCAUGGCCCCACAGCAUGUUAAAAAAGACUCUUAAUGACAGAAUAGCACUUCUCUCCCUACUCAGGAAACAAAUACCCUGAUGAAGCGAGGUGGCUCAGUGCUUGGCUUUCUGUUUGGACAAGUGGCAUUCCUUUGAAACAGACGCUGUUUGCUGGCUGUCUCUGCAUGUUUGGGCUUGGGUGAGGGGCUAAGUUGUGUUUCUGAAGCCCUCGGGUUGUGAAUAAAGAUGGACAGGCCAAUGCCAGUCUCUAUGGGAAAGGCAAUUAGUAAAUCCACUGAUUAUAAUCUAUAGGUCUUUUGGUGCCAACUAAAUGGAAGUGCUUGGCUAAAAUGCAGUCUCGUUACUGAGAUGCAUAGUCCCUUUAGUCAGAGACAAUAUGUUCAAGUCUCCUAGGUCAAGGUGCAUGGCCUGUAUUUACAAACCCAAGCAAGAAAGUAGAACAGAUCAGCCUCUGUCGAAUUCUUAGCUAACGGCCCUCCUUUGCAAACCAUCAUCUGCCAGGACUUUAAUGGAUUUGCUAAGAGUUAUACCCUAACCAGGACAUUGGUCCUAGUCUGGUCUUUAACUGACUGUGGGUGUGUGGGGGCUUCCGUGGUCUCUGUGAUUGUGACAUCUCUGUGUUCUGUCACAUCUUGUCUAUGCCAGAUGUUUGGGCCAAGGGGACACAGGAGCACAAUACAGCUCCCCCACAACACCCCCACUAAGGACAAACAUUCAGGAAUGUCUGAGAUCUACUCCUUGGGCUAUUCCAUUUCAUGGCUUUAAUUCUGAUGCCCACCCCCAUACACUGCAUGGUGAGAGAGAAAUAACCCCAGUCUCUAAGUGAUGCAGUAUCCAGAAGAGAUCAUGAACAGAAAAAAACUUACUGUUUUGUUGGUGGCAUAAGACAAUCAAAGACACUCAGAGGGAGGAGAGGCUAUGUCUAAGACACAGGAUUUGCCAAGUGACAUUGGACAGAAGCCUUGAAGAACCAUGAGAGAGAAGGGUGGAGGAUGAGAGUGGGCAGAUUCAGACGAUGGCAAGCAUGGAGCUUGUCAGGAAUGGCUAGAGCCAUCGUCCUGUGAACUGGAAGAUAUGCCAGGAUGGAGGAGCCAUGAGUUGUUAUAUGGUCUGUGGGGGCAGCUGCCUCUGCAGUUGGGUUGGAUGUCAGCAGAGGUCAGAAGAGCAAUCCAAAGACAAGGAGGGACCUUGAUUCUAAACGUUACCUGGAGGUGGCUUGUAAUGUGAGUAGGUAGGAAAAGAGGGUCACAGAUAGAGAAGUCACUUGCAAAGCUGUUCUGGUCAUCUUGGAAGGAGCAAGUAAACUUGGUCACAGUGUAUGAUGGGAUGGGGACAGGGCGGGGAGUGCUGGCUCUGUGCUCAUUUCAGUCUUUACUUAAAAGCUAAGUAGUUUGGGAAGAAGCCAGCUUUAGUAGAAGUUGGUGUUAUUGACCAAGAACUGAACAGGUACCAACCGAUGCUGCCAAGGACAGGAUUCCCAAACAGAAUGGCUCAGUUUUGCUCUGAAAUGCCUGAAAGGUCGUGAAAAGCAUAGCUUUGAGGGGUGCCAGCUUCCUAGCUCACCAGCCAGGAUGACAAAGGCCGCCAGGCAUCUUCCCAAAUUGGCCCGACCCUGUGCCUGUCUGCUUUUUCUUUUCAAACACGAGACUCUCGGGAUUGCUCACCAACAUUUCUGUCGCACUGGAGUUCCCAUAGGGUAUGUUUUUCUCCCUUCACACAACUUCCAAGAACUGUCUAGAGUGACAUCUGGGUAAAGGAAGGAAGGAAGUGAGGGCCACACGUCAAAGACAUGUGAGCUGCACACACGUGGGAACGAUGAGGCAGCUCUGGGGUCCUUCCUCCAACACUAUUUCUUUGCCUGAGGCUGGUCUUAGUGCUACGGAAGGCUGUAGGAAGUUUUCUUCUCCCUGUCAGCCACGAUCCUGG